CGGAAGGAAAAAAUUAGGGGGGCGGAAAUAAAUUUGCCCGACUUUUUCGGAUUGUGCCCGACCAGUGCCGAAAACUUUUUUUUCCGGAACAAUUAAUUUUCGCGACCUCCCCCCCCCCGUCGCCAAAAAAAUUCGGUCAGUGUACCAUUUUAGGGGUCCAAAAAUUUUUCGGACAUACCAAAAUUUUUCGGAACAUCAAACAAAUUUUUCGAACAUCACAAAAUUGACAGAAUUUGUCCCAUUUAUUUUUAUAAUAACCCAAUAUUGACUGUGAAGCGAAUAUUGCCCAACUGGCUUUGUUUGCCCAACAAACUGAGGUUAUAUAUUAUUAAGAGAGAUUUGAUUGAUUUCACUACUUUUUUGGCUUUUUAAUUUCCCACUCUUCGCCCGACUUAUGUUGAACAUUUGCCCGACUUUUCGACUUUGUAAUCUUUUUUUUUUUUGGGGGGGGGGGGCAGGCGGGCAGCUGCCCCCCCCCCCCCCCCCCGUCCCGUACGCCUAAUGGUUGAAUCGAUUCCCAUUACCAGUUCGAUCUGUUAUGUUGCCGCACUAGACUUUGGAAUAUGAACAUUCCCGCACGGAAACGCGGAAUCAAUUUAAGAUUAUGAAUAAAGCUCAACCAAUCAGGACGUAACAUGUUUGACGGCAACCUCCUCUGAGUUGUUACACUGAGUUGUUUGUUCACGCAUAAGCCUUUUGAUUGGAUGGAUUGUCACCGCGGUGAGUUCAAAUUUCAAAAUAUGGCCAGACUGGUCGUUAUGCUAUUUUGCAAGUUUAUGUUGCCGAUACAAGAGAAAGACUAAAUCAGACAGAGAGCUAUGGGAUAUGAAUUGAGAUUCGCCAGUAAGACGAAGCGCGGCACCAGGUAAAUCGUAGUUCUAUUUGUUAUGAAUUGUGUAUUGCGAGAAUUAUGAAAUAGUAAUUUUAUAUUCAUGUUGCAAAUAUAAUGCGCGCAAUUCGCUGAACGUGACAAAUGUAGAUCAUUUGCGGUUUGCACUGAUAUUAUUAUUAUUUUUUUUUUAUUUAAUGAUUUGCCCAUGUGAUAUACCAUUAUGUUACAUAAAAAGUAAAUAAAAUAAAGUAGAUGCAUUUGGGCUAGGAGUCUACGGAAACCUUGAACAGGCUUUUAGAUUUAGACCCGUAGUUUAAAGUCUUGGUGCUAAUAUACAUAGUUAAAUUGUCAUCGGUUCUAAGUAUUUACAAAAAGUGAGGUUAUGUUACAUUCAAUAUUUGUAGGAGAGUAUUUACUUUUAUUAAUUUAAAUGAGAAGCUUGAGUUAAAUAUCUAUUUACAUGAAGAGAAAUUACAGUUAAAGUGAUUUAUAAGAUUAAUUACAUAGAAAGUGUAUUUUGGAUUUUUUCUUAAAAAUGGGACGUGAUGUUAUUAUUUUUAAAUUACUGUCAAGAUUAUUCCAAACGUCCACCCCUUUCACUGAAAGCGAGUGCUUGACGUAGUUAGUUCUCUGAUAAGACUUAUGAAGUUUAGUUGAGUUUCGAGUGUUGUAUUGGUGAAUUAGGUUAUUUGAAAUAAAAAAGUUUGUGAAAACGUUUGGCAAGUUCUUUAAAUGAUGAUAUCGGAACAUGAAAAGACUUGUAAGGUAGUUAUUUAACUUACUGAGAUUCAAGAUCUG